UUUUCGUAGGUGAACCUGCGGAAGGAUCAUUACAGAGCUGCGACUCCCUCGGGAGCCAUCUCCACCCCUUGACUACCAAAUAUUGUUGCUUUGGCGGGCCCGCCCGCCAGAGACCCCAAACCCUGAGUGUUAGUGUCGUCGGAGUACUAUACAAUAGUUAAAACUUUCAACAACGGAUCUCUUGGUUCUG
rnacentral:misc_RNA from 1 species